UACGUAGGGUGCAAGCGUUAAUCGGAAUUACUGGGCGUAAAGCGUGCGCAGGCGGUUUUGUAAGUCUGUCGUGAAAUCCCCGGGCUCAACCUGGGAACUGCAUCUGUGACUGCAUAGCUAGAGUACGGUAGAGGGGGAUGGAAUUCCGCGUGUAGCAGUGAAAUGCGUAGAUAUGCGGAGGAACACCGAUGGCGAAGGCAAUUCCCUGGACCUGUACUGACGCUCAUGCACCGAA
rnacentral:rRNA from 1 species